UACGUAGGGUGCGAGCGUUAAUCGGAAUUACUGGGCGUAAAGCGUGCGCAGGCGGUUUUGUAAGCCAGAUGUGAAAUCCCCGGGACUUAACCUGGGAAUGGCAUUUGGGACUGCAAGGCUUGAGUGCGGCAGAGGAGACUGGAAUUCCUGGUGUAGCAGUGAAAUGCGUAGAUAUCAGGAGGAACACCGAGUGGCGAAGGCAGGUCUCUGGGCUGACACGUGACUCA
rnacentral:rRNA from 1 species